ACACCUACUUGGCAGGGGAGAUACCAUGAUGAUGCAGGUGGUUUUCCCAGGGAGAGGCUUAUCGAUUACAUUCCAGAUGUGCUGGCCCCUCAGUUUCCCCAAAUGCGGGAAAUGCACAUGUAUGAUUUGUGGUAAUGGGGAACUGCAUUCAUGCUCUCCCUGA